rnacentral:rRNA from 1 species
GCAGUCCGACCCAUCACGCCGCGUGCGGNGAUGAAGUGCCUUCGAGGUUGUAANACCGCUUUCAGCAGGGNAAGAAGCGAAAGUGACGGUACCUGCAAAAGAAGCACCGGCUAACUAUGUGCCAGCAGCCGCGGUAAUACAUAGGGUGCAAGCGUUGUCCGGAAUUAUUGGGCGUAAAGAGCUCGUAGGUUGUUCGUUACGUCGGAUGUGAAAAUCUGAGGCUUAACCUCAGACCUGCAUUCGAUACGGGCGAACUAGAGUGUGGUAGGGGAGACUGGAAUUCCUGGUGUAGCGGUGGAAUGCGCAGAUAUCAGGAGGAACACCAAUGGCGAAGGCAGGUCUCUGGGCCAUUACUGACACUGAGGAGCGAAAGUCUGGGGAGCGAACAGGAUUAGAUACCCUAGGUAGUCCAGACCGUAAACGGG